UACGUAGGUGGCAAGCGUUAUCCGGAAUCAUUGGGUUUAAAGGGUCCGUAGGCGGUCUUAUAAGUCAGUGGUGAAAUCUCUCCGCUCAACGGGGAAACGGCCAUUGAUACUGUAAGACUUGAAUUAUUGGGAAGUAACUAGAAUAUGUAGUGUAGCGGUGAAAUGCUUAGAUAUUACAUGGAAUACCGAUUGCGAAGGCAGGUUACUACCAAUGGAUUGACGCUGAUGGACGAAAGCGUGGGGAGCGAAGCAGG
rnacentral:rRNA from 1 species